CCAGCCGCUCUGGGAUUUGCCAAAGUUGGGUUUCGCAGCAGCAAUUUCGAUCAGAGCGCUAAUCAGGAGGCUUUCCAUUUCCCAGCGGCUCUCCUGCUGGAUGGCCUUUUGUACUCCUGCAUAUCCAUCUCCGCCAGGAAAAAGAAGAGGGAGAAGGAAAAACACGCAGAUAAAUACAACUUUAUACAACAACCAGGUCAGUCUCCGUUGGAGGAGAAGAAGGAGAAAGCGAGAAACACCAAUGCCACGAGAAGCAGCUAUUUAGGUGACCUGUGCAAAGGAAAAGGUGCUAAUUGCGUCUACUCGGAGGACUAUCUUGCGUUUCAUACCUACAUGCCCCUGCGUGGGUUAAUUACAAAAAAAGAAGGAUCCUGUUGUCGUCUUUUGAAGAAAUAAAUAAUCCCAAAACAGAAAC
ensembl:lncRNA